CCUACGGGAGGCAGCAGUGAGGAAUAUUGGUCAAUGUCCGGAAGGCUGAACCAGCCAAGCCGCGUGAAGGACGAAGGUGCCACGCAUUGUAAACUUCUUUUGUCAAGGGACAAACUCAGGCUCGCGAGCCUGACCGAGGGUACUUUAAGAAAAAGCAUCGGCUAACUCCGUACCAGCAGCCGCGGUAAUACGGAGGAUGCGAGCGUUAUCCUGAUUUAUUGGGUUUAACGGGUGCGUAGGCGGACUGUUAGUUCAGCGGUAAACGCCCGGGGCUCAACCCCGGCGAGCCGUUGAUACUGGUUGUCUUGAGAUGUCGAGAGGUAUGCGGAAUGCG
rnacentral:rRNA from 1 species